AGAUAAAUGAUAGGAUCCUAUGAAGGCAGACUUGAUGGAUUUGGUAAAUGACGAGGCGGAUAGUCUAAGCACAGUAACGAAAACAGAGAAAGUUACAACAGUAAAGAAUAAGAAAGAUGCCCUUAAUGAAGCAAUAAGACUGAUGUAAAAUGUUUAUAAAUUUUGUAAGAAAAUAUACAAUCAUCUAUAUUCA